GUCGGGUGGGACGCUGAACAGAGACAGCGACAGAGGCCUUGUUUUCAUGAGUCACUGAGACAGAAGACACUGGUGUGCCGAUGUGCAGGUGCGUCAGCGGGGGCUGCGCUGGCCAGCUCCACGCAGGGUCCCACCCCAUCUAGGCCUGUCGUCCUGAACCGGAGGCUCCUCCUUCACUCCCAAAUGUCUCUACGGCACUGGGAAGACUGUUCAGUUUCUCCUUAGUGUCUUCAGUUUUUUCACCCUUUCUGCCUUCGCAUUCAGAAUGCCCACGUCUGGAGGACUUAAAGGCAACUGGGGCAGACUGGACCCUCACCCAGGCCCCCUUCACUCUGCAGCCCAGAAUCACGUCUGGUCAGAGACUCAGACAAUCAAACAGUUAGCUUCCAAACAGUUUAAGUUCAAUAGAUCCAAAUGUCCAAAAACAUUCUCACCUGGGUGCCCCCCCCACCCGUUUCAGUGACACCCCAGGGCAUCCCGCAGCCGAGUCAACUGGAGACCAAGGUCAUCUCUCCUAUGUCCUUCUGGGUCCCUCUCUGCCUCCAUCAGCGCCCAGGUUCCGCCAAGCCCCCCUUUGGAUGUUUCCAGCUUCCUCUCCAUCUCCAGGACCACUUGGAGCUCACCUCUGCCUCACUCCUGUGAAUAAUGAGGUUGUCACAGGUCCAGACGUCACGUUAUGGCCUGAUGGAAACCCAGACCCCAACCCUCCCUGUGGCCAUGAAGAGCCAGAGGAGCCACGGAAGGCUGCCAGCACCUCUUCAAGCACAAGCGUCUUAAUGAAGAAACUGUAGCUGCCUUUUCGCCAGAGACUCAGAUACACACCCAGGACGGGGCAGGGGGGCAGUGGCGCUGUGUGAGUUAGAGGGCGGGUUCAUGCUUAGGGGAUGGCGCAGAGUCCCUGGAGGAAGCUCCUGACCCCCAGGAGGAGGACUGACCAGGGGAAGCCCCGUGUGGGACAGACGGGCCUGCACUGGGGACCGCGUGUCAGACAAGCUGCUUCCCUCCUCCCGGAGCUGGUCACUGGGAACAGGCCUGUCCAGGCAUGUGGGGAAAGCACACAAAGCCUGCUGAGCUCAGAUAAGAGUCUGAAUGUGUGGAAAACAGCCAAUGAGUGGCAUCUCCUCAACCCCCAGUGAUCUCAGCUGUCUCAGCUCCCUGCGGUCAGCGAGAGCCGGGCAGCCGGGCCCCCAGCAGAGGACCGCCGAGCGCGGGGAGCGCCUGGCAACAGACUGGGGGAGUCCGGCUUGCUCCUGCCAGGAGUACUCUUGGGAGGACAAACUGGGUCAAGAGGAAACACACCUUCCCCAGUCCCACACGGACAGCGAGCUGACGGUCAGUAAGCAUGUGGGCGUUUGCAUAAGCAGGCUUUUGUAAAAUGCUCGAUGAACAGCUCAGGAUUUUCAGUGAAGAGGCUGGAACUCUGAAGAGACAACUGGCUGGCUUUUAGUUUCCCGUGAGUGUCUUUAGCCCUUCACCCUGUCUGCCUUUGCUUUUAAAACGACCAUGUCCGAGGAACUUAAGGGCAACUGGGGCAGACUGGACCCUCACCCAGGCCCCCUCCUCUCUGCAGCCCAGAGUUAGGUCUGGUCAGAGACUCAGUCAGGAGACUUGGGGGCCUCUCCCCAGCUCUCCCGCCGGCCAGCGCCGCCGCCCCAGGCCGGAUGCCUGGCCCCUGCGGCUGCAGGCACACCAUGCGGCCUAGAGGGCACAUGCCUGCUUCAUGAGUCUUCUGCUUCAAGAGUCGCCGAGGAACCCCUGAGGACCAAGGCCAUCUUCUGCUUCAAGAGUCGCCGAGGAACCCCUGAGGACCAAGGCCACUAGCUGUGCCAGUGAGGGGAGAGGACUGUGCCCACCCGCAUGGGUGGGGCUCGUUGCCCACCACGAGGCUCCCGGCUGUGUGCUGGAGGUGUCUCAGAGGCAUGGACGUCACAGACCCUGGGCGCCCACAGGCCACCGCACUUGAUCCCUGAUGGUGUAGAGCAGACGUGUGUUUCUCAGGCUGUAAAUUGAGAAGGAACAAAGGGCAUCAGGAAUGACGAGAAGUCAGCGUGUAGAUCCUCCGAUCGGCUCUGGGAGAGCACUGAAUAUAGAUCCUCCGAUCGACUCUGGGUGGGGACUGAGCCUCUUUCACCGUUGCACAGAAAGGGCCAGGCUCCCCAACCUCCCCAUCACCUGCCGUCAGCAGUGAGCACACAGCCUCCCUCUGCUGACCACAUCCGGGGUCUGGAGGCCCUGCGGCCGGGAAGUCCGCCAGCCCUUCCACUGGACACGUCCUCAACUCUGCCCCUGGGGGAUGGGAGGCUCACAACCCUCCUCAGAAAACAGGACUCUGAGUGGCCCACCAAACAGUUCAACAUCAUUGAACUGUCGAUGGGCCGGGAGAGCCCAAGGGGACUAUCAGAGCCGGGGAGGAGCCCUCUCCCCCUGAUUACAGAACAGCCAGGAGCGCGUGGGCCCAGGAGGAGAGGGUUUGCUCCCCAGACGCCAGCGCAGCACGAAGGGGCCGCGAUCAAGACGGCAAGACGUGGGGGAGAAGAGGAGACAGACCCGCCGGGCAGAAUGAAGCGCCGAUCAGACCCCUGCACACGCGAGACAGGCUCACAUCCGACAGAAGCUGGAUUUAAAAUCAGAAGCGAAGACAGAUUAUUUAGUAAAGAGCUUCAUUCCCAAAUCGCAUCUUACAGCAAAAGAAGCUUUGAAUGGAAUACAGAGAGUUAUGUACAGAAAGACUAAAAAGCCACACAGCUGAAUGCUGACCUGUCCCAGCUGAAGGCUGACCUGUCCCAGCUGAAUGCUGACCUGAUCCCUAGUAGGGACAGUGGCCCUGAGAGAAGUCACAAAAAAACGCAAUCGUGAAAGACCGGUGUGCAGGACUGUGUGAGCAUCCGAAAGUUUCUGCAUUAAGAAGAGCACUGGUUAAAGUGAGAAAUGAACAAUAAACCAGGAGGCAAGAGCUUAACAUGACAGGCAAGUGGUUAACAUUCCAGGUCAAGCUCUGAAUAAACCAGACUGUAUCACUAGCUGUGUGAGCGUGUGUGGCUGAUUGAACCUUCAUAAGCUUGUAUCACUUUAAUGGGGAUAAUAAUUGAUUAGCCCUCAGCAGACAGUGAGGAUCAAAAGAG
ensembl:lncRNA